AGCAGUAGCCGCGGUAAUACGUAGGUGGCGAGCGUUGUCCGGAAUCAUUGGGCGUAAAGGGAGCGCAGGCGGGCAUGUAAGUCUUUCUUAAAAGUGCGGGGCUCAACCCCGUGAUGGGAAAGAAACUACAUGUCUUGAGUACAGGAGAGGAAAGCGGAAUUCCCAGUGUAGCGGUGAAAUGCGUAGAUAUUGGGAGGAACACCAGUGGCGAAGGCGGCUUUCUGGACUGCAACUGACGCUGAGGCUCGAAAGCCAGGGGAGCGAACGGGAUUAGAUACCCCUGUAGUCCCUGUCUCUUAUACA
rnacentral:rRNA from 1 species